rnacentral:rRNA from 2 species
CUUGACACUGAACACUGGUCCUUGAUGUGUAGGAUAGGUGGGAGGCUUUGAAGCGUGGACGCCAGUCUGCGUGGAGCCAACCUUGAAAUACCACCCUUUAAUGGCUGGUGUUCUAACGUAGACCCGUAAUCCGGGUUGCGGACAGUGUCUGGUGGGUAGUUUGACUGGGGCGGUCUCCUCCCAAAGAGUAACGGAGGAGCACGAAGG